AUGGAUCAUCUUUUAAUGCAAAUGUUACCACAUGACCCUCUUUAAUUCUAUCCCUUCCUCCCCAGCUGACCUCAUGGGUAAGAUCCAAAUGUCCUAACAAGGCAUUUCAGGUUUUUUGUAACUUGGUUCCAGAGAACAUAAAAAAUCACCCAAAGACCUAGAGCUCUUUAACACCAAGGCAGACACUGGAGUAAAAGCGCAGCAUCAAAGGCAGGAGGGGAGCAGGCCGACAGCUGCUCACCCAGCCUGGUCCUUCCAGGGUGCCCCGUUAGCCCCUGCUGCAGAGGGGACGUGAGACAGGGAAGGACAGGACAUGCGGACUCUGCUCACCCAGGCUAACCUGCAUCCCCUGCCCCUCCCUGAGCCCAGGGCUCACUGUGAAGUCACCAGCCCUACUCUGCCCUGCAUUGUGACGCCCCUGCCAGAAACCACUGUGGCUGGCAUGUUAUCAGCUCUGGCUGGAGGCAAAGGUUGGGCAAUUUUGGACUGAAAUGACAAGAUGUUCCAGCUUCUAAUUCCCCUGCUUUUGGCACUCAAGGGACAUGCCCAGGACGAUCCAGAAAACGUUCAAUGUGGCUACAGGCCUGCUUUUCCAAACUCGUCAUGGUUACCAUUUCAUGAACGGCUUCAAGUCCAGAAUGGUGAGUUUCCGUGGCAAGUGAGUAUCCAGAUGUCUCGGAAACACCUCUGUGGAGGCUCAAUCAUACAUCAGUGGUGGGUUCUGACGGCCGCACAUUGCUUCCCAAGAACCCUAUUAGACAUGGCCGUGGUAAAUGUCACUGUGGUAAUGGGAACGAGAACAUUCAGCAACAUCCACUCAGAGAGAAAGCAAGUGCAGAAGGUCAUUAUUCACAAAGAUUACAAACCGCCCCAGCUCGACAGUGACCUCUCUCUGCUUCUACUUGCCACACCAGUGCAAUUCAGCAAUUUCAAAAUGCCUGUCUGCCUGCAGGAGGAGGAGAGGACCUGGGACCGGUGUUGGAUGGCAGAGUGGGUAAUGACAAAUGGGUAUGACCAAUAUGAUGACCUAAACAUGCACCUGGAAAAGCUGAGAGUGGUGCAGAUUAGCCAGAAAGAAUGUGCCAAGAGGGUAAACCAGCUCUCCAGGAACAUGAUUUGUGCUUGGAAGGAACCAGGCACCAAUGGUAUCUGCAAGAGUAGAAUCGUGUUUCCUUCUGGAGCCCUUCCUAAUUGAUAUGCUUAGGGCCAUCUUCCUUAACACCCCAGACCUGCUGGUUUCGGAGCCAUCGACCUCCUCAUUUCCACCGCAGAAGGCUAGAGGGAGAUUCGGAAAAUCAGGGCAGGGCCCAGGAGAAGGUUCUUUCAGAGCACAGCUUCAGCCUGGUUACUUCUGGCACCAGCCAGGAGGAACAGACUUUUUCCCACACAGCAGUUACCACCAGAAGUACCUGAACAAGAUCACCCUCAGCUCCUGCAGCCUCAGGGCACCCAAGUGUCCUGUCCACUGGGCAUUAGUUACGGGCAAAGAUUUGUGUAGCCCUUCACUUUGCACGCUGAAGCUCUAACCCUGGCUGCAACUGGAGAGGGGGCCGCCAAGGAAGUCAUUAAGGUUAACUGAGAUAUGGGGUGGGGCCCUGGUCAAUAGGAUGGUGUCCUUAUGAGGACACUUAUAAGAUGGACGCCCACUUGCCCCCCUGACUCCUCUGGCACAGGAACUGAGGAAGAGUCACAAGAGGACACAGCAGAUGCUGGUCACCUGCAGGCUAGGAAGAAAGCCCUCCCCAGGAACCUGGGUCUUGGAUUUCCAGCCUCCGCUGUGGAAAAUAAAUGUGUGUUGAUCAAU